GUGAACGCUGGCGGUAGGCCUAACACAUGCAAGUCGCACGGCAGCACAGUAAGAGCUUGCUCUUACGGGUGGCGAGUGGCGGACGGGUGAGGAGUACAUCGGAAUCUACUUUUUCGUGGGGGAUAACGUAGGGAAACUUACGCUAAUACCGCAUACGACCUACGGGUGAACGCAGGGGAUCUUCGGACCUUGCGCGAUUGAAUGAGCCGAUGUCGGAUUAGCUAGUUGGCGGGGUAAAGGCCCACCAAGGCGACGAUCCGUGGCUGGUCUGAGAGGAUGAUCAGCCACACUGGAACUGAGACACGGUCCAGACUCCUACGGGAGGCAGCAGUGGGGAAUAUUGGACAAUGGGCGCAAGCCUGAUCCAGCCAUACCGCGUGGGUGAAGAAGGCCUUCGGGUUGUAAAGCCCUUUUGUUGGGAAAGAAAAGCAGCAGGUUAAUACCCCGCUGUUCUGACGGUACCCAAAGAAUAAGCACCGGCUAACUUCGUG
rnacentral:rRNA from 1 species